rnacentral:rRNA from 1 species
UACGUAGGGGGCAAGCGUUAUCCGGAUUUAUUGGGUGUAAAGGGUGCGUAGGCGGGAAAGCAAGUUGAAUGUGAAAUACCGGGGCUCAACUCCGGGGCUGCGUUCAAAACUGUUUUUCUUGAGUACAGCAGAGGCAAGCGGAAUUCCCAGUGUAGCGGUAAUAUGCGUAGAUAUUGGGAGGAACACCGGUGGCGAAGGCGGCUUGUUGGGCUGCAACUGACGCUGAAGCACGAAAGUGUGGGGAGCAAACAGGAUUAGAUACCCUGGUAGUCCACACUGUACACGAUGAUUACUAGGUGUGGGGAGAUUGACCCUCUCCGUGCCGCAGUUAACACAAUAAGUAAUCCACCUGAGUAGUACGGCCGCAAGGUUGAA